rnacentral:lncRNA from 1 species
UUAAAAAAAAACUUUAAUGUGUCAUAUUUUGAUCUAGUUACAAUUUUUGUCUCCUUAUAUAAAACAAAUUACACAAUUUUUCACUAAAAUGGCUGCAAAAGUUACUAAAAACUCUAUUUCUUCUCUUUAAAACUCUCUUUCUUCUCUCUAACACUCUCUAUCUUCUCUCUAAACUCUUUGAAUUUGAAAAAAAAUAGUUUAAUUUCUUAGUUAUUAUUAUGUUUUUCACAAUAUUAUCUUGUUUUGGUAGAUAUUAUCAUUCGUGGUUUUCAUCUCUCAUUCACAAAAAUGUAAGAUUUAGACUAUAUAUUUUAAAUAUGUAUUUUAUGUUUAUAUUCAAAUAAAAUUAUAUAUUCGAUCUCUAUAUGUUUACUUUGCUAUUAUAUAAUCUUAUA